rnacentral:rRNA from 1 species
UACAGAGGGUGCAAGCGUUAAUCGGAAUUACUGGGCGUAAAGCGUGCGUAGACGGUUACAUAAGUCGGGUGUGAAAGCCCCGGGCUCAACCUGGGAAUUGCAUUCGAGACUGCGUAGCUAGGGUGCGGAAGAGGGAAGCGGAAUUUCCGGUGUAGCGGUGAAAUGCGUAGAUAUCGGAAGGAACACCAGUGGCGAAAGCGGCGCACUGGACCACAUCUGACGCUGAGGCGCGAAAGCUAGGGGAGCAAACAGG